GACGAACGCUGGCGGCGUGCCUAUACAUGCAAGUCGAGCGAAGUUUUUCUGGUGCUUGCACUAGAAAAACUUAGCGGCGAACGGGUGAGUAACACGUAAAGAACCUGCCUCAUAGACUGGGACAACUAUUGGAAACGAUAGCUAAUACCGGAUAACAGCAUUAACUGCAUGGUUAAUGUUUGAAAGUUGGUUUUGCUAACACUAUGAGAUGGCUUUGCGGUGCAUUAGCUAGUUGGUGGGGUAAAGGCCUACCAAGGCGACGAUGCAUAGCCGACCUGAGAGGGUGAUCGGCCACACUGGGACUGAGACACGGCCCAGACUCCUACGGGAGGCAGCAGUAGGGAAUCUUCCGCAAUGGGCGAAAGCCUGACGGAGCAACGCCGCGUGAGUGAAGAAGGAUUUCGGUUCGUAAAGCUCUGUUGUUAGGGAAGAAUGAUUAUGUAGUAACUAUACAUAGUAGAGACGGUACCUAACCAGAAAGCCACGGCUAACUACGUGCCAGCAGCCGCGGUAAUACGUAGGUGGCAAGCGUUGUCCGGAAUUAUUGGGCGUAAAGCGCGCGCAGGUGGUUUAAUAAGUCUGAUGUGAAAGCCCACGGCUCAACCGUGGAGGGUCAUUGGAAACUGUUAAACUUGAGUGCAGGAGAGAAAAGUGGAAUUCCUAGUGUAGCGGUGAAAUGCGUAGAGAUUAGGAGGAACACCAGUGGCGAAGGCGGCUUUUUGGCCUGUAACUGACACUGAGGCGCGAAAGCGUGGGGAGCAAACAGG
rnacentral:rRNA from 1 species